GACGGGGGGUCCUAGCGUUGUUCGGAAUCAUUGGGCGUAAAGCGUGUGCAGGUGGCUUUGUAAGUCAGAUGUGAAAGCCCCGGGCUCAACUCGGGAAGUGCAUUUGAAACUACAAAACUUGAAUAUGGAAGAGGGUCGUGGAAUUCCUGGUGUAAUGGUGAAAUACGUAGAUAUCAGGAGGAACACCGGUGGCGAAGGCGGCGACCUGGUCCAAUAUUGACACUCAUACACGAAAGCGUGGGGAUCAAACAGG
rnacentral:rRNA from 1 species